ACUAAAUAGAUACCCUGGUAGUCCACGCCCUAAACGAUGUCUACUAGUUGUCGGGGAUUCAUUUCCUUGGUAAACGCAGCUAAACGCGUGAAGUAGACCGCCUGGGGAGUACGGCCGCAAGGUUAAAACUCAAAGGAAUUGACGGGGACCCGCACAAGCGGUGGGGUGAUGUGGACUAAUUCGAUGCAACGCGAAAAAACCUUACCUACGCUUGACAUGCCAGGAACUUUCCAGAGAUGGAUUGGUGCCCGAAAGGGAACCUGGACACAGGUGCUGCAUGGCUGUCGUCAGCUCGUGUCGUGAGAUGUUGGGUUAAGUCCCGCAACGAGCGCAACCCUUAUCCUUAGUUGCUACGCAAGGGCACUCUAGGGAGACUGCCGGUGACAAACCGGAGGAAGGUGGGGAUGACGUCAAGUCCUCAUGGCCCCUAUGUGUAGGGCUUCACACGUCAUACAAUGGUCGGUACAGAGGGUCGCAACCCGCAGGGGGAGCCAAUCCCAGAAAACCGAUCGUAGUCCGGAUUGCAGUCUGCAACUCGACUGCAUGAA
rnacentral:rRNA from 1 species